UACGUAGGGUGCAAGCGUUAAUCGGAAUUACUGGGCGUAAAGCGUGCGCAGGCGGCUAUGCAAGACAGAUGUGAAAUCCCCGGGCUCAACCUGGGAACUGCAUUUGUGACUGCAUGGCUAGAGUGCGGCAGAGGGGGAUGGAAUUCCGCGUGUAGCAGUGAAAUGCGUAGAGAUGCGGAGGAACACCGAUGGCGAAGGCAGCCCCCUGGGCUAACACUGACGCUCAGGCACGAAAGCGUGGGGAGCAAACAGG
rnacentral:rRNA from 1 species